rnacentral:rRNA from 1 species
AAUAGAUACCCGGGUAGUCCACGCCGUAAACGAUGAGUGCUAAGUGUUGGGGGGUUUCCGCCCCUCAGUGCUGCAGCUAACGCAUUAAGCACUCCGCCUGGGGAGUACGGUCGCAAGACUGAAACUCAAAGGAAUUGACGGGGGCCCGCACAAGCGGUGGAGCAUGUGGUUUAAUUCGAAGCAACGCGAAGAACCUUACCAGGUCUUGACAUCCCGGUGACCACUAUGGAGACAUAGUUUCCCCUUCGGGGGCAACGGUGACAGGUGGUGCAUGGUUGUCGUCAGCUCGUGUCGUGAGAUGUUGGGUUAAGUCCCGCAACGAGCGCAACCCUUAUUCUUAGUUGCCAUCAUUCAGUUGGGCACUCUAAGGAGACUGCCGGUGAUAAACCGGAGGAAGGUGGGGAUGACGUCAAAUCAUCAUGCCCCUUAUGACCUGGGCUACACACGUGCUACAAUGGACGGUACAAACGGUUGCCAACCCGCGAGGGGGAGCUAAUCCGAUAAAACCGUUCUCAGUUCGGAUUGUAGGCUGCAACUCGCCUAC